rnacentral:rRNA from 1 species
GAUGAACGCUGGCGGCGUGCCUAAUACGUGCAAGUCGAGCGAACGGACGAGAAGCUUGCUUCUCUGAUGUUAGCGGCGGACGGGUGAGUAACACGUGGAUAGCCUACCUAUAAGACUGGGAUAACUUCGGGAAACCGGAGCUAAUACCGGAUAAUAUUUUGAACCGCAUGGUUCAAAAGUGAAAGACGGUCUUGCUGUCACUUAUAGAUGGAUCCGCGCUGCAUUAGCUAGUUGGUAAGGUAACGGCUUACCAAGGCAACGAUGCAUAGCCGACCUGAGAGGGUGAUCGGCCACACUGGAACUGAGACACGGUCCAGACUCCUACGGGAGGCAGCAGUAGGGAAUCUUCCGCAAUGGGCGAAAGCCUGACGGAGCAACGCCGCGUGAGUGAUGAAGGUCUUCGGAUCGUAAAACUCUGUUAUUAGGGAAGAACAUAUGUGUAAGUAACUGUGCACAUCUUGACGGUACCUAAUCAGAAAGCCACGGCUAACUACGUG